AGUCAAACACUCUUAACUCACGUUGAUUUUCAGCCCACACACAACUCACACACACUAACACCUAAAACACACACACCAUUCACGCAUAUACCAUUUUUAGCUUGAGCUCAAGCUUUUGAGCUCCGAUUUGAGCACCGAGAUGAACGCCGAUCAUCUUUUCGAUCACGUAUCUAAGUAGGUCCUUUUGGGAAGUAACGACUUGAGGGAGAGAGUGACGUUACUCAUUGAUACAGAGACACAACGAGGUUGAGCUGAUGUGAUGAUGGUGCUGCAAUGAGCGGAGUCUCCAGGGUUGUUAAUAAAUAGUUAACCUGUCUAGAAUAUGUCUUCAUACAUAUGUCUAGCUACUUUCCGCUGCAAGAUGUUGUUGAUGUUAUAGUAUGUUAUGUCAUACUUUGAGUCUUAAGAGAAUGGUUUCAUACGAUGUAUAACUUGAUUAAUGAUAUUAAUUAAGUUUUAUGCUGUCUUUCAUAGACUGUUUUCAAUUGAGUAUUAAUGAAUAAAAAUGACGAGUUUUAUUAA